GGGGGAGGGGAGGAGGGAAUACAUUCCAUUAUUCAAUUUCUGUUCUAACUAAACAUUCCUAGUUGUACAGCUCUCAAGGUAGGGUCUUGCUCACUGCUUACAAAUAGGACAGUUUUAUCAACAGCUGGAGAUACCUCUUAUCAAAUAGCUGAAUGCUUAUGAGGCAGUACAGUGUAGGCUAGUUGUGGUUUGCACUUAUUAAAGCAUAAUUAUAGCUCAGGCCUAUUACAAUUUAAAUGCUACAAACACAUUACUGGUUCUAUCAUGCAUCAAAAAUGUUUUGAUCACUAGGCUUGAGGGAACAUGUAAACUCCUCUUUGACAAACUUACACGAUCUGUGCUUUUCAGCUUUUGCUCUCCAAUUUGUAUCUGCUCCAGAUCUGUUUGGAGACUUAAGUUAGUUCACUUCAGAACUAAACUUCAAGAGCCAUGGAGGCCAGCGGGAGGUUUUCCAUUGACUUCAGUGAACUGUGGAUCAGGUCUGAGGAGAUAAAUCCAGCUCUUUCAGAAGCCGGCUCUAUUCUCUUCAUAGAAUGAAGCUGUGAAAGGACCAUAGGAAGAGACAAAACUGGAAAAUUAUAUAUAAUGUCUUGUCCACU
rnacentral:lncRNA from 1 species